rnacentral:rRNA from 1 species
GAGUUUGAUCCUGGCUCAGGAUGAACGCUGGCGGCGUGCCUAAUACAUGCAAGUCGAGCGAACAGAUAAGGAGCUUGCUCCUUUGACGUUAGCGGCGGACGGGUGAGUAACACGUGGGUAACCUACCUAUAAGACUGGAAUAACUCCGGGAAACCGGGGCUAAUGCCGGAUAAUAUUUAGAACCGCAUGGUUCUAAAGUGAAGGAUGGUUUUACUAUCACUUAUAGAUGGACCCGCGCCGUAUUAGCUAGUUGGUGGGGUAAUGGCUUACCAAGGCAACGAUACGUAGCCGACCUGAGAGGGUGAUCGGCCACACUGGAACUGAGACACGGUCCAGACUCCUACGGGAGGCAGCAGUAGGGAAUCUUCCGCAAUGGGCGAAAGCCUGACGGAGCAACGCCGCGUGAGUGAUGAAGGUCUUCGGAUCGUAAAACUCUGUUAUUAGGGAAGAACAAAUGUGUAAGUAACUGUGCACGUCUUGACGGUACCUAAUCAGAAAGCCACGGCUAACUACGUGCCAGCAGCCGCGGUAAUACGUAGGUGGCAAGCGUUAUCCGGAAUUAUUGGGCGUAAAG